rnacentral:rRNA from 1 species
UACGUAGGGUGCGAGUGUUAAUCGGAAUUACUGGGCGUAAAGCGUGCGUAGGCGGUUCUCCAAGUCCGUUGUGAAAGCCCCGGGCUCAACCUGGGAAUGGCAGUGGAAACUAGGGGACUGGAAUCUGGCAGAGGGGGGUGGAAUGCCGCGUGUAGCAGUGAAAUGCGUAGAGAUGCGGCGGAACACCGAUGGCGAAGGCAGCCCCCUGGGCUGAGAUUGACGCUCAGGCACGAAAGCGUGGGGAGCAAACAGG